GACGAACGCUGGCGGCGUGCUUAACACAUGCAAGUCGAACGGAAAGGCCCUGCUUUUGUGGGGUUCUCGAGUGGCGAACGGGUGAGUAACACGUGAGUAACCUGCCCUUGACUUUGGGAUAACUUCAGGAAACUGGGGCUAAUACCGGAUAGGAGCUCCUGCUGCAUGGUGGUGGUUGGAAAGUUUCGGCGUUUGGGGAUGUACUCGCGGCUUAUCAGCUUGUUGGUGGGGUAGUGGCUUACCAAGGCUUUGACGGGUAGCCGGCCUGAGAGGGUGACCGGCCACAUUGGGACUGAGAUACGGCCCAGACUCCUACGGGAGGCAGCAGUGGGGAAUAUUGAACAAUGGGCGGAAGCCUGAUGCAGCAACGCCGCGUGCGGGAUGACGGCCUUCGGGUUGUAAACCGCUUUCGCCUGUGACGAAGCGUGAGUGACGGUAAUGGGUAAAGAAGCACCGGCUAACUACGUG
rnacentral:rRNA from 1 species